rnacentral:rRNA from 1 species
CCUACGGGCGGCUGCAGUGGGGAAUCUUGCACAAUGGGGGAAACCCUGAUGCAGCGACGCCGCGUGAGUGAAGAAGUAUUUCGGUACGUAAAGCUCUAUCAGCAGGGAAGAAAAUGACGGUACCUGACUAAGAAGCCCCGGCUACCGACGUGCCAGCAGCCGCGGUAAUACGUAGGGGGCAAGCGUUAUCCGGAUUUACUGGGUGUAAAGGGAGCGGAGGCGGGAGCGCAAGUCUGAAGGGAAAUCACAUGGCUUAACCAUGGAACUGCUUUGGAAACCGUGCAGCUGGAGUACAGGAGAGGUAAGCGGAAUUCGUAGUGUAGCGGUGAAAGGCGGAGAUAUUAGGAGGAACACCAGUGGCGAAGGCGGCUUACUGGACUGUAACUGACGUUGAGGCUCGAAGGCGUGGGGAGCAAACAGGAUUAGAUACCCGAGUAGUC